CCUACGGGCGGCAGCAGUGGGGGAUAUUGCACAAUGGGGGAAACCCUGAUGCAGCGACGCCGCGUGAGUGAAGAAGUAUUUCGGUAUGUAAAGCUCUAUCAGCAGGGAAGAAAAUGACGGUACCUGAUUAAGAAGCCCCGGCUAACUACGUGCCAGCAGCCGCGGUAAUACGUAGGUGGCAAGCGUUAUCCGGAUUUACUGGGUGUAAAGGGAGCGUAGACGGCUGCACAGGUCUGGAGUGAAAUGCCGGGGCUUAACCCCGGAACUGCGUUGGAAACUGUGCGGCUAGAGUGCAGGAGAGGUCAGUGGAACUCCAAGUGUAGCGGUGAAAUGCGUAGAUAUAAGGAGGAACACCAGUGGCGAAGGCGGCUUACUGGACUGUAACUGACGUUGAGGCUCGAAAGCGUGGGGAGCGAACAGGAUUAGAUACCCGAGUAGUC
rnacentral:rRNA from 1 species